rnacentral:rRNA from 1 species
AUUGAACGCUGGCGGCAGGCCUAACACAUGCAAGUCGAGCGGAUGAAGGGAGCUUGCUCCUGGAUUCAGCGGCGGACGGGUGAGUAAUGCCUAGGAAUCUGCCUGGUAGUGGGGGAUAACGUCCGGAAACGGGCGCUAAUACCGCAUACGUCCUGAGGGAGAAAGUGGGGGAUCUUCGGACCUCACGCUAUCAGAUGAGCCUAGGUCGGAUUAGCUAGUUGGUGGGGUAAAGGCCUACCAAGGCGACGAUCCGUAACUGGUCUGAGAGGAUGAUCAGUCACACUGGAACUGAGACACGGUCCAGACUACUACGGGAGGCAGCAGUGGGGAAUAUUGGACAGCGGGCGAAAGCCUGAUCCAGCCAUGCCGCGUGUGUGAAGAAGGUCUUCGGAUUGGAAAGCACUCUAAGUUGGGAGGAAGGGCAGUAAGUUAAUACCUUGCUGUUUUGACGUUACCAACAGAAGAAGCACCGGCUAACUUCGUG